rnacentral:rRNA from 1 species
UACGUAGGGGGCAAGCGUUGUCCGGAUUUAUUGGGCGUAAAGAGCGUGUAGGCGGCCAUACAGGUCAGCUGUGAAAACUCGAGGCUCAACCUCGAGACGUCGGUUGAAACCGUUUGGCUAGAGUCCGGAAGAGGAGAGUGGAAUUCCCGGUGUAGCGGUGAAAUGCGCAGAUAUCGGGAAGAACACCCGUGGCGAAGGCGGCUCUCUGGGACGGUACUGACGCUCAGGCACGAAAGCGUGGGGAGCAAACAGG